rnacentral:lncRNA from 1 species
CCUGUUUAGAAAAACAUGCUUGACCAUAUUUAUUUUUAUGAAGUGGUGUAGGUUUGGCCACGAGAAAAGCAUGAAGCAGAGUGUCCUUGAAGCUGUAAACAGGGGAGGAGCAGAUGUUUCUUCCCUUCUACAGAGAACAUGAAGCAAAGGAAAAGAGGGAAAGCAGAGCUGCCCAGAAGGAAGGAAUGAAAUGUGCUGUUACCUGGUUUGUAAGGGGCUGAGAAGAUCCCACCUGCUUAAAUUUAAUUCUAGCUUGAUAGAACUUGCAUAGGCCUAUGCUUUGUGUGGGACCACUGGGCUCGAUAGAGACCUAGCAAAUCUAGUAAGACAGAAAAAGGGAAAUACAACCAGGAAAGAAUAUGUUCUCCAGAAUGAAGGCAUCGUGGCUGACCUGAUCUUCACAACCGCAACAGCACACCCACCAUCAGAAGUCCAUGCUUGGCUCCAGGAAGAUGUGGCUGCCUCUCAGUUGCAGUCAAUACGACAAUGGCAUGGCUGUGGAAACACCCUUUUAUUCCUCCAGCCUGGGCUGGACUCCUCUCUCGGCAGACAGACGCCUGGACAGGACUCUUCAGAAGACAAAAUAGAACAUGAAUGCCUGGUUCUCACCCUGAAUUUCUCCCUGAAGAUGUUUGGACAGCAAGUUCAGGGGAAUUCAUGAGGCAAAUCAGGCACCUCUUUGUGUAGGUGUCACAACACCAACGUGGCAUGGGUGCCACCAGAACCUGGGUUGUCUCCAGCAAUGGAUGGAUGGGAGUGAGGAAGCGUGCUCCUUAAACACUCAUCACCUGGGCUUCUCUCUGUGGCCUCAGGAAGGACUUUUUUUUUUUUUUUUUUUUUCUCCUAGGAGUUCCAUUACUAAAGAACAACAACUCUUAAAUCAGUGUAAGGUUAAAGGAGAUCUAAUGUCUCUGUAAUGGACUGGAUGCUGAAAUGCAGAUAUAUAACUCAGCAUGCUCAUUUAAUAGUAAAGGCAGAUGGUUUCACUAUUACAGCUUGUUGCUAGAGAGGAAUUUAUCUGGUAAUCCAAUAAUCGUAAUUGUAUUAUUUUUAUAAUAAACAAUGAGGCAAAUUCA